rnacentral:misc_RNA from 1 species
UGUUGGAGGGAUAAAGGGCUCGCUGCCAGCUCAUGGGGCAGAGCAAUUUGACGAGAGCACACCGAAAGGAAGGAAGCAGAGAUCAACCUUCUUCAAUUACUUUGUCUUCUGUCUUUCAUGUGGAGGCCUAAUUGCUGUCACGUUUGUUGUGUGGAUUGAAGAUAACAAAGGAUGGGAGUGGGGAUUUGGAAUCUCUACAAUUGCCAUAUUUUUGUCUAUCCUUGUCUUUCUCGCUGGCUCAGCCACUUACAGGAAUAAGAUUCCUUGUGGAAGUCCCCUCACAACUAUUUUCAAGGUUUUGAUUGCUGCUGCAAUUAACACUUCCAUAAGAAAAACUCCAAGCAAUGCCGUAGCAAACCUGAAUGCAAGCCCUUUCAGUCCAACCCAAGGCGGCCAGGAAUCAGAGGAAAAUUCCAAAGACAUGGCACCCAGUACUGAAACUGCAACAAAAAGCUUCAGCUGUCUUAACAGA